UACGAAGGGGGCUAGCGUUGCUCGGAAUUACUGGGCGUAAAGGGCGCGUAGGCGGCACUGUUAGUCAGGCGUGAAAGUCCUGGGCUCAACCUGGGAACUGCGCUUGAUACGGCAGAGCUAGAGGAUGGAAGAGGGUCGCGGAAUUCCCAGUGUAGAGGUGAAAUUCGUAGAUAUUGGGAAGAACACCGAUGGCGAAGGCAAUCCCCUGGGCCUGCACUGACGCUCAUGCACGAAAGCGUGGGGAGCAAACAGG
rnacentral:rRNA from 1 species